GCUGGAAGGGAGGGGUCUCCAUAUUAGCUAGGCCUGCAGCCCAACCGUAAGGGAGUCUAAAUCAAUCAUGGGAAAAGAGUGAUGCAAUGGGCAUGGCAUAUGAAGGCAAAUGCAAGGACAAGCACAAUAAAGAAGAGAAGACGGAGGACGAAGGGGAAGAAGAAGAGGAGGAAGAAGAGAAAAAGAGUGCAUAAUGAUGGUUGUCAGUUCAAAAUGGAAAUGUUAUUCUUAAACUGAAGGCAUUAUUUUGAGUUCUCUAUGCAAAGAUACUA